UUAGCAGGAGAAGGCCAGGGAGUGGGGUUGAGGAGGGGGGAAGGGAUCAGCCAUGAUUGAAUGGUGGAGCAGACUCGAUGGGCCAAAUGGCCUAAUUCUGCUCCUAUGUCUUAGGGUGGCUUUAUUUAAGUGAGUCAAAAACUCGAUCUCCGUCAGUCGGUGUCCCGGUCCUGGAGGAUUGAGGAUCCCGGCAUGUUCGAGAUACCGGUCGGAGGAACCUGAGACUCUGGAAACGUCCCUCAAUCCACCGGGAGUUUCGGCUCCCGCUCGGCACUCGGACAUGUUGUUACUCCUUCUCCAGUUCGUGCUCGCUGUGGUGAACGCGGAAGGGCAAUCUACAUUGGAGGUUUACAGCUCACCUGGAAGUUCGGUGACUUUUCCCAGAGUAGAUGAGAAGGAAGUGAACAUUGCUGAGGUUUUUCAUUGGGAUAAACUCCAAGAACACCCAGGAAAAGAGACCUCCAUGAAACCAGUUCUCCAGUUUCAUGUGGGAUCCACAGAACCUUCCGUAAUAAACAAAUAUACUGGGCGCAUCGACUUCUGCCGAUCCAACGGAUCAUUUGUCUUCAGCAACCUGAAUUAUGCAGAUGAUGGUCUUUAUAGACUUUCCGUCAAUCUACGAGCAAUCAUUAUUCGAUAUGUCCGCCUACGUAUAAUGGGGCAAAAUACCACCGAGGUGCACAGUUCACCUGGAAGCUCAGUGACAUUUCCCGGAGUAGAUGGGAACGAAAUGGACAUUACUGACGUUUUUCAUUGGGAAAAACUGCAAGAAAAGAGACCUCCAUGGAUCCAGUUCUCCAGUUUCAUAUUGGAUCCACAAAACCUGCCGUAGUAAACAAAUAUAUUGGGCGCAUUGACUUCCUCUCGUCCAACGGAUCAUUUGUCUUCAGCAAUCUGACCAGUGCGGAUGAUGGUCUUUAUAGACUCUCCGUCAAUCUACAAAAAACCAUUAUUCGAUAUGUCCGCCUGCAUAUAAUGGGUCUUCUUCUAGCAGAUAUUAUCAUUGUGGUAUCAUCGAUUGCUGGAAUAAUAUCUUCCACAGUAUCAUUAACUGGAUUGAGCAGAGAGUUGAUACAAGGACCACAAGAGCCUCUAUUUAUGUGUAAUGCUCUAUCUCUCGUUACCAUCUCUAUUGCCCUCAUUUCCCAGAUUGUAAUAAAAGAUUUGCGAACUUUGAUGAACUUCUGUGGCAUCGUGAGUUCUGUCACUGUGCUCAUCUUUUCCUUCAUCAUCCUUGCUGAGGAGAUUCAGCAAAGUGAGGACCUGCCCUUGGCCCAGCAUGUAAAUGCAAUUUUGGAUAAAGCAUGACGGCGCCUCUACUUCCUUAGGAGUUUGUGCCGAUUGAGUACGACAUCGAAAACUUUGACAAACUCCUAUAGAUGUGUGGUGGAGAGUAUAUUGACCGCGUGCAUCACAGCCUGGUGAAAACAGCACUGGAAUUAGUCCUGUCAACAACAUGGACUUUACCCUGAGGAGGGGUCAUUGUCUGGACAUACAGGAGACUAGUUACAGAAGAAGAAGACAUCUCUCGAUAAAAGACACACACAUUGGUGAACUAUAACCACAAUGAACUGUGAUCCAGUUUGCACUAGUCAAAAUAAGGUAUAGGUCUGGGGAAUAACUAGUGGACGUAAACUCAUCAUAAUAUUAGUUGCGCUCAUAGUACAGCUUAUUCUAGCUAUUGCUUACUUAGAAUUCGUAUUCUAAUCCUACUGCUUAAAUAAUUACUUUAUGAUAGGUCCAGUUAAACUGUAUUUACCAUAAUGCUUGUAUAAUUUUUGCAGACAAGAAGGAGGUGUUGCACUUUGGUUAGAUCUUCCAAGUAGGUUCUACACAGUGGGUGGUUAAGCUACAGAGGGGUGCAGUAGAGCAAAGGGAUCUGAGAAUACAGGUUCAUCACUCAUUGAAAGGUAGACAGGGUCAUAAAGAAAUCUUUUGGCACAUUGGCCUUCGUAGAUCAAAGUACUGAGUACAGGCCUAAUUUUGACAAUUGUGUGCAGAUUGGCCACCUGCUGCAUACAAGAACACUGAGGGGCAAGUGAUCAUAACAUGAUCAAAUUCAGCAGGAAAUUACAGUGGAGUAAAGGCAACCACAGAGACAUGAGAGAGGAGUUGGCAGGAAUUCACUGGAAUUCAACCCUGGAAUGGAUGACAGCAAAGCAGCAGUGGCUUGAAUUUCUGUAAGCAACUCAUAAGCCAUAGGAUAUUAACAUCCCAAAGAGGAAGAAGUAUUCCAAAGGCAAGAUGACACAAACCUGGCUAACAAGAGAAAUGAAAGCCAACACAAAAGCAAAAGAGAGGGUACAUAAGACAGCAAAAAUUAGUGGUAAGUUAGGGGAUUGGGAAGCUAUGAAAAACCAUCAGAAGGCAACUAAAAAGUUAUUAAGAAAGUAAAGAUGAUUACAAAAGUAAGCUAGCCAAUAAUCUUAAACAGGAUAUCAGAUAUUUCUUCAGAUACAUAAAGUGUAAAAAAGAGGUGAGAGUGGAUAUCGUCUGCUGGAAAACGAUGCUGGAGAGGUAGUAAUGGGGGAUAAGGAAAUGGCGGACAAACACAAACAACCACUUUACAUCAGUCGUCACUGUGGAAGACACUCGCAGUGUGGUGGAAGCGGUAUCAGGGUCACGAAAUGAGUAAAGUUGCCAUUUAUAGAGAGAAGGUUCUUGCGAAACUGGAAGGUCUGAAAGUAGGUAAUUCACCUGGACCAAAUGGUGUACCCCAGGGUUUUGAAAGAGGGGGCUGAAGAGAUCGUGAAGGCAUUUGUAAUAUUCUUUCAAAAAUUACUAGAUUCUGGAAUGGUUCCAGAGGAAUGGAAAAUUGCAAAUGUCACUCCACCCCUCAAGAAGGAAGAGAGGUAGAAGAAAAGUAACAAUAGGCCAGUUAACUUGACCUCAGUGGUUGGGAAUAUGUUGGAGACAAUUAUUAAGGAUGAGGUCUUUUAUCAUGAACCACCAAGUCUUGGGGUACUUGGUAGCUCAUGAUAAAAUAGGCUGUAGUCAGCACGGUUUCCUCAAGGAAAAAUCUGGCCUGACAAAUCUGUUGGAAUUCUUGAAGAAAUAACAAGCAGGAUAGACAAAGGAGAAUCAGUUGAUGUUGUGUAGUUGGAUUUUCAAAAGGCCUUUGACAAGGUGCCGCACAUGAGGCUGAUUAACAAGCUAUGUUCCCAUGGUAUCACGGGAAAGAUUCUGGCAUGGAUAAAGCAGUGGCAGAUUAGAGUGGCAAUAAAGGGAGCCUUUUCUGGUAGGCUGAUGGUGGAUAACGGUGUUCCCCAGGGGUCUGUGUUGGGACCAAUUAUUUUUAUAUUAUAUGUCAAUGAUUUGGAUGCUGAAAUUGAUGGCUUUGUUGCAAAGUUUACAAUCAAUAUAAAUACAGGUGAAGGGGCAGAUAGUUUUGAGGAAGUAGAGAUGCCACAGAAGGACUUAGACUGAUUAAGAGAAUGGGCAAAGAAGUGGCAGAUGAAAUACAGUGUCAGGAAGUGUAUGGUCAUGCACUUUGGUAGAAGAAAUGAAAGGGUUGACUAUUUUCUAAAUGGACACAUGAUACAAAAAUAAACUGAGGCACAAAGGGACUUGUGCAGGAUUCCCUAAAGAUUAAUUUACAGAUAUAGUCUGUGGUGAAGAAGACAAAUGCGACAUUAGCAUUCAUUUCAAGAGGACUAGAAUAUAAAAGCAAGGAUUGAGACUUUAUAAAGCACUGGUGAGACCUCACUGGGAGUACUGGGAACAAUUUUGGGCCCCUUAUCUUAGAAAGGAUGCGCUUAAACUGGAGAGGGUUCAAGUGACGUUCACAAAAGUGAUUCCAGGUAUGAUUGGCUUGUCAUAUGAAGAAAGAGUGUUUGAUGGCUCUGGGCCUACAUUCACAAAAAUUCUGAAAAAUGAGGGGUGACCUAAUUUAAAGUUAUUGAAAGGUGAAAGGCCUCAUUAGAGUUAAUGUGGAGAGGAUGCUUCCUAUGGUGGGAGAGUCUAAGAUCAGAGGACACAGCCUCAGACUAGAGGGGUGUCCUUAUAGAACAGAGAUGAGGAGGAAUUUCUUUAGCCAGAAUCUGUGGAAUUCUUUGCCACAGGCAGCUGUGGAGGCCAAGUCUUUAUGUAUAUUUAAGAAAGAGGUUGGUAGGAUUCUUGAUUGGUCAGGGCGUGAAAGGAUACGGGGAGAAAGCAGGAGAUUGGGGCUGAGAGGAAAAAUGGAUCGGUCAUGAUGAAAUUGUGGAGUAGAAUCAAUUGGCCAAAUAACCUAAUUCAGCUCCUAUAUCUUUUGUCUUAUGGUUUACCUGCAGGAAAGAUGUAAAUAAGGUUGAAAGAGUACAAAGAAAAUUUACAAGGAUAUUGCCAGGACUGCAUCAGCUGACAUGUUAGGCUUGGACAUUAUUCCUUGGAACAUAGAAGAGUGAGGGGAGGUUUGAUAAAGGUAUUCAAAAUUAUCAGGAUAUAGGUAGUAUAGAUGCAAGCAGGCUUUUUCCACUGAGUUAGGGUGGGUCUAAAACUAGAGGUCAUGGAUUACUGGUGAAAGGUGAAAAUUUUAAGGGGAAAUGUCUUCACUCAGGGGGUCAUGAGAGUGUGGAAUGAGAUGUGUGAUCGUAGGGACAUUGAGGGUCAUUGUCCGGGUGUAGGUUGAUGGCGUGAGGAAUUUGAAUGGUUUUGGUAUGAACUCAAUGUGGCAAAGGGCCUGUUUCUUUUCAAUGACUAAUGUGCCAAUGAGAAGUCAGUGAGUGGAGUGUUAAAUAUGAUUCCUCCUUGGUACAUGCUAAAAUAAAAUGGAAGCCUGUAAGACAGAAUGGUGUUCGCUUGGAGUGGGUUUGUUUUGAGGAAGUACUACAGAACCAGUCCACAGCAAUGCUUUGAGGAAGUUAAGGGAAUACAAGUCUACAGGGAGUGGUGAAGAAUAUGUUUAUCUGAUCAGAAGAGACAAGUUUGGGUACAUCUGGCCCCACUAAUGGAUAGGAAAGUACCAGCGUAAGUGGUGUUGAAAGGUUGAAAAAGGGAUGCUUACUUUAUGCAAGGGGAAAGCUUUGUCUUAGGCUAGAUCAUGGCUAAGAUUAGGGACAAAAACACUGAGCCAGAGUUAGAGUUAGCAAGAGAGAGGAAAAAAGAUGUUUAAAAGAUUGUUGGAUGUGGCUCCGCUCCACCAUUGCAGAGAUUGGUUUGUUUAGUAGAUGAUGAGUAUUAUUUUGAUUUCUAUACUGCUCCUACUGUAGUCAUUUCUGCUUAACAUUUUUCUAGUAAUGAAGUGUUUCUUGUGGUUAAACAUGUGAGGUGCCUCCUUUGCAAAUGCAAAACCCUGAGCUGAAUAGGAAAAGUACAUGUAAUGAAUUUUCAAAUGAUUUUUGUUAUAGCCACAAAGCCACCAAUAUAACAUGAAAAAUUAGCAGAAACACUUUCAUAAACUAGCAAAAUGUUAAGCAGAAAGUAAAACAAAUGUCUACAGUAGGAGCAG